CACAGGCUCAGCUCCCUCCUCCCUCCGGCCUGGGCACUACUCGGGGGCAGAGCUGUGAGAUCUGAAGCAACCGAUGCACCAGAGGCUCAAGGGCAAGCACCCCCCUCUCCAGGGCUGGACAGCUCGGCGGCCGUGCAGCAGCAGGAGUCGGUCCCUCUCAGGACACGCAAGGGGAGCCGAGGGGCCUGACGGGAGCCUCCGACGCCGAGGCUCGGUCUCCCUAGGAGUUACUCAGUUCAACAGUCGCUCAAGACACCAGAACAACGAGCUGAAGAUUUCAAGGGUUUUCCUUCGUGUGAAUCCGAUGGUGCAAAGGAGAACGUUAUAUAAGAGAGGGCUCAGUGCCCAUGUGGACUCUCAGCAGUGCUCUCGGGGGAAGA